UGGGCGGGCUGGAGCUGGAGCGCGAGCGCGGGUCGUGUUGUCCGCGACCCAGCCUCAGCGGGACGGCAUCCUCGUCCUCCGCCUCUCCUCUAUGGCGUUCUUUUUAAUGCAUACGCGCGCGUUUUAUCCACUGUAAAGCACCGUUAAAGCGGUUUAAUUAUUUUUGUCGUGGGGCGACCCGUUUCUCUGCCUGGAUCGCAUCUCUCUGACUGAAGCCCGGGAUCACAUCUAUCAUCUUGAUUACGGACUGUAUUGACCGCGGCGAUGGCCUGGGCGCUGAAGAUGCCGAUGCCGGACGAGGUUAUUGAAUCCGGCCUGGUGCAAGAUUUCGACGCCAGUUUGUCUGGAAUCGGCCAGGAGUUAGGGGCAGGAGCCUACAGUAUGAGUGAUGUCCUUGCAUUGCCAAUCUUCAAACAGGAAGAGUCCAACUUGCCAGCGGAGGAUGAGAAUGAACUACUCCCGUUUCAAUAUGUCCUGUGUGCAGCGACUUCUCCUGCAGUAAAGCUCCAUGAUGAGACACUUACAUACCUUAACCAAGGGCAAUCUUAUGAAAUUCGAAUGCUUGACAAUCGGAAUAUUGGGGAGUUGCCUGAAAUCAAUGGUAAAUAUGUGAAGAGUAUAAUUCGAGUGGUAUUCCAUGACCGCCGUUUACAGUAUACUGAACACCAGCAAUUGGAAGGAUGGAGGUGGAACCGACCAGGAGAUAGGAUCCUGGAUUUGGAUAUUCCAUUGUCAGUAGGCAUUGUUGACCCCAGAGCAAAUCCAACACAACUAAAUACAGUGGAGUUUCUUUGGGAUCCUUCAAAGAGAACUUCUGUAUUUAUCCAGGUGCAUUGCAUUAGUACUGAAUUCACAACUAGGAAACACGGAGGAGAAAAAGGAGUGCCUUUUCGGAUUCAAAUAGAUACGUUCAAGGAGAAUGAGAGCAGUGAAUAUACAGAGCAUCUUCAUUCAGCUAGCUGUCAAAUCAAAGUAUUCAAGCCAAAAGGCGCUGAUAGAAAACAGAAAACAGACAGGGAAAAAAUGGAGAAGCGAACUCCUCAAGAGAAGGAAAAGUAUCAACCUUCUUAUGAUACAACUAUUCUCACAGAGUGUUCUCCCUGGCCAGAUAUUUCCUACGUUAACAACACAGCAUCUCCUGGAUUUACAAGUUCACAUGGCAGUUUUACCAUUGCUGAAGGGAAUGGAUCCCCUCAUCAUCAGCCUGAACCAGUUCCUGCAACCACUGAUACGUUAGGAUCCUUUCGAAAGUGGGCUUGUCGAGAACUGUCAGUGUCCCCCGUCACUGAAAAUCAGAAUCUGUUGGCAACAGCCACACCACAGGAUGCUCAGCAGUGGUUGCACAGAAAUCGAUUUUCUCCAUACUGCAGGCUCUUCGCAAACUUCUCUGGUGGAGAUCUGUUAAAGCUGACUAGAGAUGAUGUAAUCCAGAUCUGUGGUCCUGCAGAUGGUAUCCGGCUCUUUAAUGCUCUGAAAGGAAGGAUGGUUAGACCAAGGCUGACCAUUUACGUUUGUCAGGAAGCACAACAGGCCCGAGAGCAACAACACCAGAAGCAUGAAAAUGGUGAUUCUGCGAACAGUUCUUUUUAUGUGUACCAUGCAAUUUAUUUGGAAGAGUUAACAGCAAUUGAAAUGACAGAGAAGAUUGCUCAACUUUUCAAUAUUUCUCCCCGUCAAAUCCACCAGAUCUAUAAACAGGGCCCCACGGGUAUUCACGUGCUUGUGAGCGAUGAGAUGAUCCAAAACUUCCAGGAUGAAUCGUGUUUUGUUCUCGAUACCUUAAAAGCCGAGGGCAGUGACAGUUACCACAUAAUCCUCAAGUGACUGAUUUGCAAGGAUAACGUCUUCUGUGAAUGACCUUACCCCUACGUUGUGGCUCCUACUCCCAGCAGCAAUAUAUUUCCAAGCCGCAAAGACUCGAGUAUGCUGCUAUCUAUCUUGGCGCAGGAAUAACCGUGAUGGGAUUGUGCACAUGUUCAGCAGCCUGACGCAAGUGACCAACUUCUCUUGAAGCAGGUCCUAAAUUGUGGGCAAGAGGAUAGAUGGAGGAAAGAAGAACACCUGACAGAUGAAUGUGCGUGUUGUUCAACUUUGAUAUGAAAUUGUUCCUGAUAAGUGUGUUCGCUGCUGUUCUUGAUUUUGGGUGGGUGGGAGGGGAGGGGACGUGCAGCAAGCCCAGAGCUUGAUCAACUGUUUUUUCAUUCUUGAUUUGCACCUUUAUAUAUUUAUGUACACCAUCUUUAGUACCUGGCUGAAAAGUACAUCAUACAUGCAUUUUAUCUGGUUGAGUUUGCUUCCAUGUUGCAUCUGAGCUAAUAUUAGUACAGCCAUUUGCUACUUAUUUUGAAUUGCCACAGACUGUCAGCUCUUGUAACUCAAUCCAUGUUCAGUACUUUGCUUAAGCCUUUCCUGUACAGUCCUGGUAUGAUUUGAAAUCUACUUACCUCUGAGGGUAUGCAGUUCACUUUCAACUUGGUUAAGUAAUUGCAGUAAAGUAUUGGAUUGAUUUACUUAUUUCAUCCAUGUCUUGCCUUCUGAAAAUGAGAUCCCAUUUAUUUAGUUGGUUAUGUGCAAAAUUUGGAAAGGAUUUUUAAGCAAAAUAUUUUUGGACGUUAAUUUGGGAAAGGUUUCCUGUUCAAAGCAGUGCAAUAACUUGUCACAGUGUCCAUUAGCCAAAUGUAGACUUCCGGUUGAAAUCCUAAUCCAGGUGACCAUUCACAAGCAGUGGCUUGUUGGAGGAUUUUGCAAAUGCAAGGAUACAAGGAUGCCUGACAUCUCUCAAAUUUGCUUUCUCAUUUCUUCCUCAUUCCCAACCAACUGUGCACUUCAGCCACUCUAGCCAAGGUCUGAUCCACCUUAUUUAUGUGUGGUCACUUUUGCUCAUUUAAGAAGGAAUUACCUUGGAUACCAAUGAGCUGCCUGUGCUCUGCAUAUUCCUACACAGUCAAGUGAAAGCCAUGAAGACAGUAAGCUCAUCAAACAAGUUUCAAAUAACUUUUAAUGUGUAUAAAAUCAAAUUACGUUUCUGUCAGCAGCAAUGCUGGAACUUGUGUUCUGGUCUAAUCUUGAAUCUCUAUUUGGAAACAGCUUUUGUAAAAGGCUUUAUGAGAUGACAAGAAUCAGAUCCUCCUGUCUUAAUUCAGUGAAUUACUGUCAUGUUUCCUAUUGCAGAAUGUGGUUUGAACAGUGUAGAAAAGCAACAAGUAGAAUUUAUCCAAUGAAGCAGUUGCUUUUUGAAAGCUGCUGAACUUCCAGACAAAUCUUCUGCUUGAUAUGGUAAUAUCUUUUACUCCGAAUUCCCAAUCCUGUGAAAGUUUCCAAUCUUAUUCUUUACUGUUGUCGCUCAGAAAUAAUUGGAGAUUGAGCCUGAAUUUUGCCAACGUCUAUGCUUAUCAAUGCAACUUUUGAGUUGCUUGCUCAGUUGGUUUCUGUGAAUUAACAUGGAAAACUAUAAUGGAAAACCCCAGCAUAUUGAAAGAAGGGAGGAAGAUUUAAUAGAAGCAUUUUCAACUUAAAAAGAUCUUCCUUCACUAAAUCCACUUCACUAAAAUCCACUUUAUUCAGGAUAAUACCUUCCCAUCAAUGGCCUGUGAUGCAGUAACAUUUCAGUUGUAUUUUUUGUAAUUGUCAGGAAAUUGAGUAAUCAAGGGCAAAAUUUUGAUCUUUAAUAUUUCAUUCAUACCAUAAUUCAUGAGCCUUUAUUUGGGCUAUUUGAAUGUGUCUAUGUAAUCAUCUGUGGCCUAUUGAAAUACAAACAGUAUCCAUUUUGAUGUCUAUAAUUAAACUACUUUAAGCCACUUUGAAACAGACAACAGAGGAAUGGCAAAAUGUACAUUAGGCUGUGAAUAACCUCCCAUUCAGUCAAUGACUAAAUGGCCCAAGUGACGAUACUAAUUUGCAGGAGAGAUGGAAAGGUGAAGUUACUUGGAACCCUGCCUUGUGAAACACGAGAUCGGUGUUGCAAUUUGGCAGAAGGUAUCAGAAUACAGAAUAUCUAUAGUUGAGGGAUUAAAGGCUGAAUUCUGGUUGGAAUAAGUUCUCCUGGAUUGUAAGGAUUGGAUGCAGAUUGAGUUUGGAGCAACAUUAACUCAACUUUGUAUGGUUUUUGAGAUGGUCAAAUGGCUCCUGGUUAAUUAGUGUUGGCCCAGGAAAUGUUGCUACAUCCCUUAUUUUGUACAUGAGAGUCGUAUGGUCAUGCAGCACAGAACCAGGUUCUUGAGCCCACUGUAGGCAUCAAUACUCAUCUAUAUUAAUCUCAUUUGCCAGCACUUUCAUCAAGGCACAAUAAAGCAGCCCUAAGCAUUCAAAGAAAUUCGCAUUGGCCGUAGAAUCUGCCUUUACAUUCACUUGAAACACGACUGUCCUUUUGCAGAGAAACAUACCAACAGAAGUGCUUUAAGCCUGAGUUGGAAGGAUUUCUUGUUAAAUAAAAAUUCCAUUAAAACCAUGCAAAACUAAAUGGAUCUGUAGAUCAAAAUCAGUUUUGUUCCACUCUUACAUAACAGACCAAAUGGCAAUCUCUAUCAGUUAUGGCUAACCAAUGUACUGCCUGAAUGAAAGCAAUCUGUAUUUUUAGUACCUGGGAUAACAUGACAUGAUUUAGUGACGUGAGUGCAAUAAUCAUUAAUUAAUUCACAAAUGAUGGGUGCUAUUAAUGUGUUGCAUUUGUACGAAGGGUGACUUUUGACCAUCUCAAAUCACCACCUGUCUUUUUUUCGAGAUGUUCAAGAAUCCCUUCCCAAGAGAUGGUGUGCCAAGCCACCACAAAUUAGAAAUGAGGAACUGCAGGUGCUGGUUUAUAUAAAAAGACACGAUGUAUUGGAGUACUUCAGCAGGACAGGCAGCAUCUCUGGAAAACAUGGAUAGCCAUGUUAUCCAGAGAUGCUGCCUGACCUGCUGAGUAACUCCAGCACUUUCUCUUAUUUUCCACCAUAAGUUAGGCCAGCUUUUGGUUUCUUUUGUUUCAUCCCUGGCAUAACUUCUGACUGCAAUUCUGGUUUGGUGGGCCCAGUAGUUUGGAUUGCAUUCUGUAUUGGAAUCUUGCAUAUUAUCCAUCUUCCCCAAAACAUCUUGUAUUUCUCUGCAAAGAGAAUAUGGAAGUUUGAGAGGCUUUUAAUAGCCAUGUUGUGUCUAGGUAUGAUACUCCAGCUGUUGCAGAUUGUGGAAUAUGGCCACCUUGUCUUGUCUUUUUUCCCAUCAGUUUCAUUUGUGAUAGUCAUAGAGUGAUGCAGUGUGGAAAGAGCGCUUUGGCCCAACUUGCCCACACCGGCCAACAAUGUCCCAGCUACACUAGUCCCACUUGCCUGCACUUGGUCCA